rnacentral:lncRNA from 1 species
UUUGGCACAGCUUGACCAUGGACUUCUUUCUUCCAAGGCCACGAGGAGGUGUCCAUGUGUUCUGGGUUCAUGCCUGGUCUUUGGGCAGAUGUGGGAAUGUGUUCUGGGUUCAUGCCUGGUCUUUGGGCAGGUGGUUCCCAGGGCUGCAGCUCUGUUCGUCUGAGGGGAAAGGCCCAUGCAGUCGAUGCUACUGGGGGCUCUGUGGGUGUCAUGGGUGCUCAGAGUCCCUGUGGAGCCUCAUGGGUUGAAUCUGCUGCCCUCCCAACCUCACCUGCCCUCCCAACCUCACCUGCCCUCCCAACCUCACCUGCCCCCCCAACCUCACCUGCCCCUGCAACCUCACCUGCCCCCCCAACCUCACCUGCCCCCCCCAACCUCACCUGUUCCCCCCAACCUCACCUGCCCCCCCAACCUCACCUGCCCCCCCAACCUCACCUGCCCCCCCCAACCUCACCUGCCCCUGUUCUCCACCUUGAUGCCACCUCCUACUCUGCCCGUUUCCUGCGGGGCUUCCCAUGGGGCCCGGCAAGCCGCUGCGGACCCUGCAGACCUCAGGCACGGGUGGAUGCGGGGCUUGUGGUCGGCGUCUGCUCUUCACCACCAUCCUCCUGUGGUCCACGUGCCCUUUCAGUUGGCCAGCUCUGCUCAUGGUUGGUCAGAGGCUGUGGGAUGCGCUUAAAAGCCUCAGCAGCAAGUCCUGGAAUUUGGAGAGUCUGUGACAGAGAAGGGCACAUUCCGUGGCCAGACAGGUUUUGAUUCUGUGCCAUCUGUGUACUUGCCUCUGACCAUCAGGUGGGGGCUGCACCCGUCUUCUCCUUUGGUUCCCCUGGACUUUGGAUGGGGCGGGGCUGGACUCAGGGAGGCCUCCUGGGCAGUCUGGGGUGGCUCUUCCCAGCAGAGCGUGGGGAGAAGUGGAGCCACAGCCAGCCAUGGGGGCGGAGGAGGAGGCAGCAGCUGUGUUUCUCAGUCUCAGGCGCAGCGGAGUCGGACGUGUAUGGCACCACGUGUUCCCU